UUGAAGGUUGGGUAACACUAACUGGAGGACCGAACCGACUAAUGUUGAAAAAUUAGCGGAUGACCUGUGGCUGGGGGUGAAAGGCCAAUCAAACCGGGAGAUAGCUGGUUCUCCCCGAAAGCUAUUUAGGUAGCGCCUCGUGAAUUCAUCUCCGGGGGUAGAGCACUGUUUCGGCUAGGGGGCCAUCCCGGCUUACCAACCCGAUGCAAACUGCGAAUACCGGAGAAUGUUAUCACGGGAGACACACGGCGGGUGCUAACGUCCGUCGUGAAGAGGGAAACAACCCAGACCGCCAGCUAAGGUCCCAAAGUCAUGGUUAAGUGGGAAACGAUGUGGGAAGGCCCAGACAGCCAGGAUGUUGGCUUAGAAGCAGCCAUCAUUUAAAGAAAGCGUAAUAGCUCACUGGUCGAGUCGGCCUGCGCGGAAGAUGUAACGGGGCUAAACCAUGCACCGAAGCUGCGGCAGCGACACUGUGUGUUGUUGGGUAGGGGAGCGUUCUGUAAGCCUGUGAAGGUGUGUCGUGAGGCAUGCUGGAGGUAUCAGAAGUGCGAAUGCUGACAUAAGUAACGAUAAAGCGGGUGAAAAGCCCGCUCGCCGGAAGACCAAGGGUUCCUGUCCAACGUUAAUCGGGGCAGGGUGAGUCGACCCCUAAGGCGAGGCCGAAAGGCGUAGUCGAUGGGAAACGGGUUAAUAUUCCCGUACUUGGUGUUACUGCGAAGGGGGGACGGAGAAGGCUAUGUUGGCCGGGCGACGGUUGUCCCGGUUUAAGCGUGUAGGUGUGUGUUCCAGGUAAAUCCGGUUCACUUUAACACUGAGGCGUGACGACGAGGCACUACGGUGCUGAAGCAACAAAUGCCCUGCUUCCAGGAAAAGCCUCUAAGCAUCAGGUAACAUCAAAUCGUACCCCAAACCGACACAGGUGGUCAGGUAGAGAAUACCAAGGCGCUUGAGAGAACUCGGGUGAAGGAACUAGGCAAAAUGGUGCCGUAACUUCGGGAGAAGGCACGCUGACACGUAGGUGAAGUGAUUUACUCAUGGAGCUGAAGUCAGUCGAAGAUACCAGCUGGCUGCAACUGUUUAUUAAAAACACAGCACUGUGCAAACACGAAAGUGGACGUAUACGGUGUGACGCCUGCCCGGUGCCGGAAGGUUAAUUGAUGGGGUCAGCGCAAGCGAAGCUCCUGAUCGAAGCCCCGGUAAACGGCGGCCGUAACUAUAACGGUCCUAAGGUAGCGAAAUUCCUUGUCGGGUAAGUUCCGACCUGCACGAAUGGCGUAAUGAUGGCCAGGCUGUCUCCACCCGAGACUCAGUGAAAUUGAACUCGCUGUGAAGAUGCAGUGUACCCGCGGCAAGACGGAAAGACCCCGUGAACCUUUACUAUAGCUUGACACUGAACAUUGAGCCUUGAUGUGUAGGAUAGGUGGGAGGCUUUGAAGUGUGGACGCCAGUCUGCAUGGAGCCGACCUUGAAAUACCACCCUUUAAUGUUUGAUGUUCUAACGUGGACCCGUGAUCCGGGUUGCGGACAGUGUCUGGUGGGUAGUUUGACUGGGGCGGUCUCCUCCUAAAGAGUAACGGAGGAGCACGAAGGUUGGCUAAUCCUGGUCGGACAUCAGGAGGUUAGUGCAAUGGCAUAAGCCAGCUUGACUGCGAGCGUGACGGCGCGAGCAGGUGCGAAAGCAGGUCAUAGUGAUCCGGUGGUUCUGAAUGGAAGGGCCAUCGCUCAACGGAUAAAAGGUACUCCGGGGAUAACAGGCUGAUACCGCCCAAGAGUUCAUAUCGACGGCGGUGUUUGGCACCUCGAUGUCGGCUCAUCACAUCCUGGGGCUGAAGUAGGUCCCAAGGGUAUGGCUGUUCGCCAUUUAAAGUGGUACGCGAGCUGGGUUUAGAACGUCGUGAGACAGUUCGGUCCCUAUCUGCCGUGGGCGCUGGAGAACUGAGGGGGGCUGCUCCUAGUACGAGAGGACCGGAGUGGACGCAUCACUGGUGUUCGGGUUGUCAUGCCAAUGGCACUGCCCGGUAGCUAAAUGCGGAAGAGAUAAGUGCUGAAAGCAUCUAAGCACGAAACUUGCCCCGAG
rnacentral:rRNA from 1 species